rnacentral:lncRNA from 1 species
UAACUCUCUUCAAUAUUUUUUAAUUACAAAACUAGCUUUCUUUUUUUUUUUUUAACUCGCGAAGUCCCCACUUUCAACUCUCCAAAAUCUCACUUUAUUUCUUCUUGGAUUUCCACCCUCCUCUCACCGUGUCCGUUGUCUUCAUAUCUGUUUUGUUUCGACCUUUCAUCUGCCGUCUCCACGUAACGCCCCCACAACUUAUAUGGACCGUUGAUUGCUCCACCAACUUCUGUCUGGUUCGUUCUCGAAC